rnacentral:tRNA from 1 species
GGACAGAUGGAUGAGUGGUUUAAGUCGCACGCCUGGAAAGCGUGUGUAGGUUCAUAGCCUACCGGGGGUUCGAAUCCCCCUCUGUCCGCCA